rnacentral:piRNA from 1 species
UCUGGCCCCUGAGGGCACUUGGCAUAC